ensembl:lncRNA
CAGGUAACAGACCUUUAUUAGACCUUCUUCUGGAAUUAUGAAGUAAAAAUAUCAAGCUCUCACAUUUCUUUGAAUUAAAAUAUAGUCUUCCAGCCCUUGGCUUGGGUAGGGGCAUCACUUAUAGACACCUCGAAGGCUAAAUUCCAAAAACCCAAAUGUAGUCCUGAUUCUUCCACUAAGGGGAAGUGUGGCCUUGAGUGAAUUAUUACACUUCCACAUCACUCAGUUUCCUCAUGAUUCAACAAAAGGAAAUGAGUGGUCUUGACCUUCUACCAGGACUUUGAGGUGAUGUUGGACCAGGCACCAACAAAGAUGGUGGAAUAUCAGAGUGAUAUGGACCCAAUAUUGUUAAGACAGUUAAGGAGAGAGCACAAAAGCACAAGAAUACAACAGCAAGGCAGUUGUAAAAAUAGUGGAACCAAACACAGACUGAGAGGUAGAAAGGUGAGCUUCCCAACUGCAGCAUUUGUGCCCCACAAAGAAAGAGCCAGCAAGAAUCAGGCACCUUUAACAAGGGUGCCAAAACAAUUAGGGUUGAUACGAGUGGUACCAAGAUACCCAAUGAGCCUCUACCUAGGGGGCAUGGAGCUUCCAAGGGGAGUUCCUACUGUUUGUCUCUUUAGAAUGUCAGGGCUGGGAGGGAAAAGAACAAGGAAUUGUCCAAAACCGGAGGCUGAGAGGAAGGGAGAGAGAGAGUCUGCAUGCCAGACUUUGUGUCCACAGGUUUCUUCUGGUGGGUGGUCUGAGGCUUUCACAGAGUAGGUAGGGUCCCUCCUAGCUUCAGCUUGCAGGAUAAGACAGCAGCUGGCAAUGGUGCAAUUUCUACAUCCAAGGGGUUCCUGGGGCUAGGAGUAGGUGUAUGUCCUACCGCUGCUCAGAGUCCACAUUUCAGGAUGAUGUGGUAGCCAUCAUUGCUCUCGGCUGCGACAGAGAAACAAAGGCAUAUUUCACAGGCAUAGAGACACAGUGCCAUGGUAUUUGGGAGUCCCAAAGGGCAUGACAUUAGUACCAGCAGAGGUGCCAAAAUAAGGCCACACAAAAGGAAGUGUACUGAGGAAAGUAGAGACUUUAGAACCUACCUUAGCAUUUGCCUUGCCCAGUUACUUUCCAACAAUGGGCCUUCCCACCACAGCCAAGGGUAACAGCACCCGUGUCCAGCAAGACUUUGGACAAACUGGUGUUCCCAGGCCCAUAAAGGCACUCACUGCCCAUGCUAUAGUUUGGAUAUGAAAUGUCCCCCAAAGGCCCAAAUAGAACUAGUGGAAGGAAGCUAUGUCACUGGGGGCACACCCUUGAAGGGAACUAUGGGAUUCUGGCCCCUCCUCUCCUCUCCCUAUCUGUUUCCUCACUGCUGGGAAGUGAGCAGUUUACCCUUCCAUGUGCUCCCACCACCACAUGCUGCCUUGUAACAGGCCCAAAAGAAACAGGGCCAGCUGACCAUGAACUAGAACCUCCACAACAGUGAACCAAAAUAAACCUUCCCACUUUUUAAGUUGAUUGUCUCAACUUAUAGUAUUGGAAAGCUAACUAAUAUAGGGUAGAUUCCCAAAACAAUUCAGG